AGUGAACGCUGGCGGUAGGCCUAACACAUGCAAGUCGAACGGCAGCACAGUAAGAGCUUGCUCUUACGGGUGGCGAGUGGCGGACGGGUGAGGAAUACAUCGGAAUCUACUUUUUCGUGGGGGAUAACGUAGGGAAACUUACGCUAAUACCGCAUACGACCUACGGGUGAAAGCAGGGGAUCUUCGGACCUUGCGCGAUUGAAUGAGCCGAUGUCGGAUUAGCUAGUUGGCGGGGUAAAGGCCCACCAAGGCGACGAUCCGUAGCUGGUCUGAGAGGAUGAUCAGCCACACUGGAACUGAGACACGGUCCAGACUCCUACGGGAGGCAGCAGUGGGGAAUAUUGGACAAUGGGCGAAAGCCUGAUCCAGCCAUACCGCGUGGGUGAAGAAGGCUUUCGGGUUGUAAAGCCCUUUUGUUGGGAAAGAAAAGCAGCAGGUGAAUACCCCGCUGUUCUGACGGUACCCAAAGAAUAAGCACCGGCUAACUUCGUG
rnacentral:rRNA from 1 species